rnacentral:rRNA from 1 species
UACGAAGGGGGCUAGCGUUUUUCGGAAUCACUGGGCGUAAAGCGCACGUAGGCGGAUUGUUAAGUGAGGGGUGAAAUCCCAGGGCUCAACCCUGGAACUGCCUCUCAUACUGGCAAUCUCGAGUUCGAGAGAGGUAAGUGGAAUUCCGAGUGUAGAGGUGAAAUUCGUAGAUAUUCGGAGGAACACCAGUGGCGAAGGCGGCUUACUGGAUCGAUACUGACGCUGAGGUGCGAAAGCGUGGGGAGCAAACAGG